rnacentral:rRNA from 1 species
CAGCCGCCGCGGGAAUACGUAGGUGGCAAGCGUUGUCCGGAAUUAUUGGGCGUAAAGGGCUCGCAGGCGGUUUCUUAAGUCUGAUGUGAAAGCCCCCGGCUCAACCGGGGAGGGUCAUUGGAAACUGGGAAACUUGAGUGCAGAAGAGGAGAGUUGAAUUCCGCGUGUAGCGGUGAAAUGCGUAGAGAUGUGGAGGAACACCAGUGGCGAAGGCGACUCUCUGGUCUGUAACUGACGCUGAGGAGCGAAAGCGUGGGGAGCGAACAGGAUUAGAUACCCGCGUAGUCCCUGUCUCUUAUAC